AGGACUCUUUGCCAAGUGUGACAUAUCCUUCUACAUCAUCAUCUACUAUGCAUAUAUAUCCUAACCAGUCAUCAUUUACGGAUCCAUUACAACGAUUCCAAGAAAGUUGAUGUACAAACAAGUUUUGUGUCCAAGAGAAUGGAUUGGGAAGCAAAUAUUUUUUGGUUAUAUAAUGUGUAAAUUGUGGUGGAUAGACAUAGAACCAUCUUCUUUUUUUGUAUUUCCAACAUAGGGUCAUCUUUUUUUGUAUAUUGAACUAUGACAGAUUUUAUUCUAGAUGAAUGUAUUCUCAAUUAGAAA